GAUGAAGAACGCAGCGAAAUGCGAUAAGUAAUGUGAAUUGCAGAAUUCAGUGAAUCAUCGAAUCUUUGAACGCACAUUGCGCCCCUUGGUAUUCCGAGGGGCAUGCCUGUUCGAGCGUCAUAUUAACCACUCCCGCUUGCGGGGUCUUGGGCUUCGCCUCCGGGCGGGCCUUAAAAUCAGUGGCGGUGCCGUCGGGCUCUACGCGUAGUAAAUUUUCUCGCGAUAGGGUCCCGGUGGAUGCUUGCCAACAACCCCCAACUUCUUAAGGUUGACCUCGGAUCAGGUAGGGAUACCCGCUGAACUUAAGCAUAUCAAUAAGCAGAGGA
rnacentral:misc_RNA from 1 species